ACGGUUCUCCAAACGCCUGGUGUACAGCGAUCGUUAACUCAGCUCCCGGCACAAGCCCGGGGACCUCGGCCGGUGCCCCCGCACGCCGAAACCCGCGUGGGGCCCUGGCUCCGGCAGCGGGUCGCCGCCCAGACGUGUACCGACGCGUGCACUUCGCCGUCCGCCUCCCCGCGGCCGCUCGCCUCCCCGCCAGGGGCAGCUCCGGCGCUCGCCCCACCUCGCCGUUCUGAAAUUGAAUGAUGCUUUCAAGGCACAGGUCACCAAAACGUGAGCCACUAAACUCUGUCCUGGACCAAAUUCCUAGCCUCCUAAGCAGAAAGAAAGGGCUGCUCCCUCUCUGCCCCCCAAUUUGAAAAGCAAGUGACAAGAAGCGCAAGUAACGGAAUCUAUGGAAAAAUAUCCUUGUAUGAGAAUUAACAAAAAUAAAAAAGAUAAAUGUGAAAGUCUGUCUGAAAUUCAUUGUCCUUAUUAUUAACAAUAACUCUGAAAAGUCUCCACUGUAAAGACAAUGUACCUGACUAAAGUGAACAAAACUGUAUGACAUUUCCUAACCACUUAGCAUGUAGUUUUAAUAACAGAAGCCUAGAUACAAGAAAACAGUUCACAAAGAAAACAAAAAGGUGAAACCUCUCUCUCUUCCCUAAUUUUUGGUCAUAAAUUCAAGACUUCUCAUGGACUGAGCUCCAUAGGUUUGUGAGUCCCUGUGAUUCAAAAACAGGGAAAAGGAUGGAAUUUAGGUCUUCUAGGACUACUUUUAGAAUCCUGGCUAUUCCAGAAUUCAGAAGGCAUGGAAAAACCAUGUCCUCGGUAAAAGUUUCUGAGUUUCUGAGUGAUCAAAUAUCACUCACAUGACCUGGCGUGGCAUGGAAGCUUUAUGUUCUGUGUACUGCUUGUUUCUUAAUGGUGAAGAAGGUAGCAUUCCGUAUUGCUAAUUGCUCUAUACUUUUGAAAUGUAAGACAGUUAGCCUGGCCGGUGUAGCUCAGCAGUUGAGCAUUGAUCCAGGAACCAAGAGGCUAUUGGUUCAAUUCCCGGUCAAGGCACAUGCCCAGGUUUUGGGCUCCAUUGACCCCCAGUGUGGGGUGUGCAGGAGGCAGCCGAUCAAUGAUUCUCUCUCAUCAUUGAUAUUUCUAUCUCUCUCUCCCCCACUUCCUUCCUCUCUGAAAUCAAUAAAAACAGUCAUAAUAAUUUAGUUUAUAAA